UACGAAGGGGGCUAGCGUUGUUCGGAAUUACUGGGCGUAAAGCGCACGUAGGCGGAUAUUUAAGUCAGGGGUGAAAUCCCAGAGCUCAACUCUGGAACUGCCUUUGAUACUGGGUAUCUUGAGUAUGGAAGAGGUAAGUGGAAUUGCGAGUGUAGAGGUGAAAUUCGUAGAUAUUCGCAGGAACACCAGUGGCGAAGGCGGCUUACUGGUCCAUAACUGACGCUGAGGUG
rnacentral:rRNA from 1 species